CCACAAGUAAUUAUCAAAAAAGAUUGGAAAUUUACCACAACCUAUUACAUUAUUUUCUCGGAAAACAAAAAGAAAUUAGAUGGAAAUUAAGCAAACUCCAAUCAAAGACCAAAAAUAGAGACAACAACUAAAAAAGCAAUCAUAUGCCCCUUAAACUCCAUUUUAACAGAAAAAACGAUACUACAAUCAACAAGUUUCAGGGAAUAUAGGAUUCAUCCACUUCAUUUUCUUUCAAUUCCCAGAUUCUUGGAAAAAAAGAAAAAAGGCGAAACAAUAUCAGAGCAGUUCAUAGGGAAACACCUUUUUCCC
rnacentral:misc_RNA from 1 species